GUGCUUCAUGUGGCAGCAUAUAUGCUAAAAAAACCAUGAGCGAUGUAGAGGAGAUUAGCAUGACCUCUGUACAGGGAUGACACGCAAAUUAGUGAAGUGUUCUGUAUUUGU